rnacentral:rRNA from 1 species
UGCAGAGGGUGCAAGCGUUGUUCGGAAUUAUUGGGCGUAAAGGGCGCGUAGGCGGACAGUUUAGUCAGAGGUGAAAGCCCAGGGCUCAACCUUGGAACUGCCUUUGAUACUGGGAGGCUCGAGUCCGGGAGAGGUGAGUGGAACUGCGAGUGUAGAGGUGAAAUUCGUAGAUAUUCGCAAGAACACCAGUGGCGAAGGCGGCUCACUGGCCCGGUACUGACGCUGAGGUGCGAAAGCGUGGGGAGCAAACAGG